rnacentral:rRNA from 1 species
GCGUCGACCGGCGCACGGGUGAGUAACGCGUAUCCAACCUGCCCACCACUUGGGGAUAACCUUGCGAAAGUAAGACUAAUACCCAAUGAUAUCCCACGAAGGCAUCGGAAUGGGAUUAAAGAUUUAUCGGUGAUGGAUGGGGAUGCGUCUGAUUAGCUUGUUGGCGGGGUAACGGCCCACCAAGGCGACGAUCAGUAGGGGUUCUGAGAGGAAGGUCCCCCACAUUGGAACUGAGACACGGUCCAAACUCC